rnacentral:rRNA from 1 species
CGGGACACGUGGUAUCCUGUCUGAAUAUGGGGGGACCAUCCUCCAAGGCUAAAUACUCCUGACUGACCGAUAGUGAACCAGUACCGUGAGGGAAAGGCGAAAAGAACCCCGGCGAGGGGAGUGAAAAAGAACCUGAAACCGUGUACGUACAAGCAGUGGGAGCACAGAGCAAUCUGUGUGACUGCGUACCUUUUGUAUAAUGGGUCAGCGACUUAUAUUCUGUAGCAAGGUUAACCGAAUAGGGGAGCCGAAGGGAAACCGAGUCUUAACUGGGCGUUAAGUUGCAGGGUAUAGACCCGAAACCCGGUGAUCUAGCCAUGGGCAGGUUGAAGGUUGGGUAACACUAACUGGAGGACCGAACCGACUAAUGUUGAAAAAUUAGCGGAUGACUUGUGGCUGGGGGUGAAAGGCCAAUCAAACCGGGAGAUAGCUGGUUCUCCCCGAAAGCUAUUUAGGUAGCGCCUCGUGAAUUCAUCUCCGGGGGUAGAGCACUGUUUCGGCAAGGGGGUCAUCCCGACUUACCAACCCGAUGCAAACUGCGAAUACCGGAGAAUGUUAUCACGGGAGACACACGGCGGGUGCUAACGUCCGUCGUGAAGAGGGAAACAACCCAGACCGCCAGCUAAGGUCCCAAAGUCAUGGUUAAGUGGGAAACGAUGUGGGAAGGCCCAGACAGCCAGGAUGUUGGCUUAGAAGCAGCCAUCAUUUAAAGAAAGCGUAAUAGCUCACUGGUCGAGUCGGCCUGCGCGGAAGAUGUAACGGGGCUAAACCAUGCACCGAAGCUGCGGCAGCGACGCUGAUGCGUUGUUGGGUA